rnacentral:rRNA from 1 species
UACGUAGGGUGCAAGCGUUAAUCGGAAUUACUGGGCGUAAAGCGUGCGCAGGCGGUUAUGUAAGACAGAUGUGAAAUGCCCGGGCUUAACCUGGGAACUGCAUUUGUGACUGCAUGGCUAGAGUUUGGCAGAGGGGGGGUAGAAUUCCACGUGUAGCAGUGAAAUGCGUAGAUAUGUGGAGGAACACCGAUGGCGAAGGCAGCCCCCUGGGUCAAGACUGACGCUCAUGCACGAAAGCGUGGG